GGUUAAGCGACUAAGCGUACACGGUGGAUGCCCUGGCAGUCAGAGGCGAUGAAGGGCGUGCUAAUCUGCGAUAAGCGCCGGUAAGGUGAUAUGAACCGUUAUAACCGGCGAUACCCGAAUGGGGAAACCCAGUGUGACUCGUCACACUAUCAUUAACUGAAUCUAUAGGUUAAUGAGGCGAACCGGGGGAACUGAAACAUCUAAGUACCCCGAGGAAAAGAAAUCAACCGAGAUUCCCCCAGUAGCGGCGAGCGAACGGGGAGAAGCCCAGAGCCUGAAUCAGCAUGUGUGUUAGUGGAAGCGUCUGGAAAGGCGCGCGAUACAGGGUGACAGCCCCGUACACAAAAGCGCAUGUGCUGUGAGCUCGAUGAGUAGGGCGGGACACGUGGUAUCCUGUCUGAAUAUGGGGGGACCAUCCUCCAAGGCUAAAUACUCCUGACUGACCGAUAGUGAACCAGUACCGUGAGGGAAAGGCGAAAAGAACCCCGGCGAGGGGAGUGAAAAAGAACCUGAAACCGUGUACGUACAAGCAGUGGGAGCACCCUUCGGGGUGUGACUGCGUACCUUUUGUAUAAUGGGUCAGCGACUUAUAUUCUGUAGCAAGGUUAACCGAAUAGGGGAGCCGGAGGGAAACCGAGUCUUAAUUGGGCGUUAAGUUGCAGGGUAUAGACCCGAAACCCGGUGAUCUAGCCAU
rnacentral:rRNA from 1 species